rnacentral:lncRNA from 7 species
CCCCGGCAUCUUCCAGAGCCCAUCUGAGGGUGAAGGCUCUGAGAGCGCAGAGGGAGUUUGAAGCUAAAUGCACCUGAGUCUGGAUCUGUUGGCUGCUGGGAUUUAUCUCUUUCAUUAUUUUUCUCCGGGGGGAAACCAAACCGAUAAAAAAAAAAAAAAAAAACCAAAAAAACCGUGAUAUAUUUUUGCAAACUCCCUCUAUUUUUUUUUUUUUUAGAAGAAGAUUUUUAUUUAUUUAUUUCUUUGGAUGGUCGCAAUGGAAGGGUUGGGUCUGUGCCUGAGAAGCAGCAGCCGAACGCCAGCGCUGGGAGGACGCGGCGCGGACGUGGGGUCCCCGGCCAGCUAACUCUGCAGGACCCGCACCCCGGGGCCGGGGGGGGGCUGGAUUCCCCCCCAGGAUCACAGAUUGCAAAUAAUGACAGCCUGAAGCACAGGCUAUUUCACAGCCUGCUGGCACUUUGGGAUGGGAUCGCUGCGUCUUCAGGGAUGGUGACACCAUGAACCAAGCCUUCAUCGGCACGGCCAAUUAAUUUAAGACUCCCCUUUCUCUUCGUUAUCUCCUUAACGAAGCAGAGCUGAGGCUUUGCCACGCACCAUGCGCACUACCCAGGGGUCGGGCUCUGUGCUGCACAGUGCUGGGCCGGAUCCUGCUCACUGCUGCCAUGAUGGAACCCAUUGUCUGUGGUGCACAAUGCAAGGGAGCAUGGAGUGCCCAUAGCUGGACCCACUCUGCCCAGGGGAAAAGCAUAGGUGGAAAACUUCCUGGAGGAGCAAUUUGCUAUGGAAAUAGCACUGAGCUGGGCCAACUCGGUGGCUUUCAGGGCAGCAACCGGGAGCGCACCACGGUGAUCUCCCCUACUCGCUUCUACUCGGUCCUGCAGCAAAACACAAAAUGAUUCAUGAGGAGAGGUUGAACCGCCGAUCCUUUAUCCUCUGCACUGGAAUGGGACCUGAUUUGGGAAUUUCUGGUGGUAGCUAUGCAUCGUUUUCCACCAAUUCCUCCCUUGGGAGCCCUGAGGAGCAUGCUGGUCUUUGACCCCACAAAAGACAGGGAGGUGUCCGGGCACUGGGAGCACAGCGGUGUGUUUGCCUGGCUGCAGGACUGAGCAACCUUUCCCCCAAAUUGGAAGCAUGCUUUUUUUUUUUUUUUUUCUGUCGUUGUUUUUGUUUUAAAAUAAAGUAAAAGCAACAGCCGA